rnacentral:rRNA from 1 species
UUCCGUAGGGGAACCUGCGGAAGGAUCAUUGAAUAUGCAAACCACAACACGCACUUAAUUCUUGGUGAUCGACCUGGGGUCGCACAUGCCUUCACCGGCGCCGCGGCCCUGCUUUCUACACACCAUAUCAAACACCGAUACAAACCAAACUCUGAAGCUUUGGCUGCUAUUAAUUGGCGGUCUACAACGAGAACAACUCUCAACAACGGAUAUCUUGGCUCUCGCAACGAUGAAGAACGCAGCGAAAUGCGAUACGUAGUGUGAAUUGCAGAAUUCCGUGAACCAUCGAAUCUUUGAACGCAUAUUGCUGCUCGACCUUUCGGGGAAGAGCAUGUCUGCCUCAGCGUCGGUUUCAACCUCAUCCCUCCCACCCCUGUGGGUCGGGCGUGCUUGCUCAAGCACGCUCUUGGGAUGGAUCUGACCUCCCCAGCGUUUGCGUGGCACUCCCUGGGUUGGUUGAAGCACAGAGGCUUAAACUGGGACCCGAUAUGGGCUCAACUGGAUAGGUAGCUCCGCUUGCUCUGCAAGUGCCUACACGAAGUUGUGCUUGUGGACCUGGUUAGGAGCCAAGCAGGAAUCGAGUGUUCGCACUCGAAUCUAAGGUUCGACCUGAGCUCAGGCAAGGCUACCCGCUGACUUUAAGCAU